rnacentral:rRNA from 1 species
GGUGAACGCUGGCGGCGUGCCUAAUACAUGCAAGUCGAGCGAAUGGAGGAAGAGCUUGCUCUUAUGAAGUUAGCGGCGGACGGGUGAGUAACACGUGGGUAACCUGCCAUAAGACUGGGAUAACUCCGGGAAACCGGGGCUAAUACCGGAUAACAUUUUGAACCGCAUGGUUCGAAAUUGAAAGGCGGCUUCGGCUGUCACUUAUGGAUGGACCCGCGUCGCAUUAGCUAGUUGGUGAGGUAACGGCUCACCAAGGCAACGAUGCGUAGCCGACCUGAGAGGGUGAUCGGCCACACUGGGACUGAGACACGGCCCAGACUCCUACGGGAGGCAGCAGUAGGGAAUCUUCCGCAAUGGACGAAAGUCUGACGGAGCAACGCCGCGUGAGUGAUGAAGGCUUUCGGGUCGUAAAACUCUGUUGUUAGGGAAGAACAAGUGCUAGCUGAAUAAGCUGGCACCUUGACGGUACCUAACCAGAAAGCCACGGCUAACUACGUGCCAGCAGCCGCGGUAA